UACGUAGGUGGCAAGCGUUGUCCGGAAUUAUUGGGCGUAAAGCGCGCGCAGGCGGUUUCUUAAGUCUGAUGUGAAAGCCCACGGCUUAACCGUGGAAGGUCAUUGGAAACUGGGAGACUUGAGUGCAGAAGAGAAGAGCGGAAUUCCACGUGUAGCGGUGAGAUGCGUAGAGAUGUGGAGGAACACCAGUGGCGAAGGCGGCUCUUUGGUCUGUAACUGACGCUGAGGCGCGAAAGCGUGGGGAUCAAACAGG
rnacentral:rRNA from 1 species